GGGCUAUUUUACAAUCUCCAUGGGCGCCACUGAAGCUACAGUGAAAGAAAUCAAAAGAAUUCCAGACACAAGUGACCCUUCACUUUCACUCUACUCUGCUACUGUGAAUGUUCCUUCAACAACUGGUCACAUGAUUCUGCAAGUAACUUAUGUAACCAACACAACACCAACAUUUUACCAGUGCAGCGAUGUUCUGAUUGUUGCUUCUCCAGACACUAUUACUGUUGGAUAGACAGCUAUUUAUAGAUCUGACCCAUAAUCUGUUUUGUUCCAUUAUUUCUAUUCACUAAUGAGUUUCACAGUUGCCAAGGUGUUGAACAACGAAACUUGGAAAGUUAAUAGUAAUUCACACAUAAGGCCAUUAGAUCUAGUUUUGCAUAAUAAUGUAUUAAAGCCAUAUUAAAUUUUGACUGAAAUCUGAAAAUUAAAAA
rnacentral:sRNA from 1 species